UGGCCAUUUGAUAAUCCUCAGCUGAGAAUGU
rnacentral:piRNA from 1 species